rnacentral:pre_miRNA from 1 species
CUUUCUGUGGCUGUCGUGUUAAGUGUGAUUCUAUGAAGACACUUCACACACAACCACAGGAAGUU